AAGCCUGACGCAGCAACGCCGCGUGGGGGAUGAAGGCCUUCGGAUUGUAAACCCCUUUCAGCAGGGACGAAACUGACGGUACCUGCAGAAGAAGCCCCGGCCAACUACGUGCCAGCAGCCGCGGUAAUACGUAGGGGGCGAGCGUUGUCCGGAUUUAUUGGGCGUAAAGAGCUCGUAAGCGGCUUGGCAAGUCGGGUGUGAAACCUCCAGGCUCAACCUGGAGACGCCACUCGAUACUGCCAUGGCUAGAGUCCGGUAGGGGACCACGGAAUUCCUGGUGUAGCGGUGAAAUGCGCAGAUAUCAGGAGGAACACCGGUGGCGAAGGCGGUGGUCUGGGCCGGCACUGACGCUGAGGAGCGAAAGCGUGGGUAGCAAACAGGAUUAAAUACCCUGGUAGUCCACGCCGUAAACGUUGGGCACUAGGUGUGGGGCCUUAUCAACGGGUUCCGUGCCGUACCUAACGCAUUAAGUGCCCCGCCUGGGGAGUACGGCCGCAAGGCUAAAACUCAAAGGAAUUGACGG
rnacentral:rRNA from 1 species